rnacentral:rRNA from 1 species
AUUGAACGCUGGCGGCAGGCCUAACACAUGCAAGUCGAGCGGAUGACGGGAGCUUGCUCCUUGAUUCAGCGGCGGACGGGUGAGUAAUGCCUAGGAAUCCGCCUGGUAGUGGGGGACAACGUUUCGAAAGGAACGCUAAUACCGCAUACGUCCUACGGGAGAAAGCAGGGGACCUUCGGGCCUCGCGCUAUCAGAUGAGCCUAGGUCGGAUUAGCUAGUUGGUGGGGUAAUGGCUCACCAAGGCGACGAUCCGUAACUGGUCUGAGAGGAUGAUCAGUCACACUGGAACUGAGACACGGUCCAGACUCCUACGGGAGGCAGCAGGGGGGAAUAUUGGACAAUGGGCGAAAGCCUGAUCCAGCCAUGCCGCGUGUGUGAAGAAGGUCUUCGGAUUGUAAAGCACUUUAAGUUGGGAGGAAGGGCAGUAAGCUAAUACCUUGCUGUUUUGACGUUACCGACAGAAUAAGCACCGGCUAACUCUGUGCCAGCCGCCGCCGUAAGAC